rnacentral:tRNA from 1 species
GGGCGUGUGGUCUAGUGGUAUGAUUCUCGCUUUGGGCGACUUCCUGCUUAACAGGGAGACGAAGCAUGCGAGAGGCCCUGGGUUCAAUUCCCAGCUCGCCCC